CUGAAAACAACAGGGAGCGAUCCCAGCUAAGAUUCAAAGUGUUUUAAACGUUAUUUAAUUCUUGUUUGAGUUCUUUAUUUCACACUCCCUCACCCUCAUUUACUUCAUUUGUAGUCAUUUCUUGAAUAGUUAAACUGAAAUCAAAGUUUGGCCCCAGAUGAGAUCAUGGACUUAAGAAUAGGUCUUCCUAAAUUCUUAGCACUAAAGGAUACUCUCAGAGAAUAGAAAAAGAUUAUUUAAAAAUGAGAGAUGAAAGGGAAGUAUUUUUUUAUAAAAGUGGGAAGAAGCAGCUUGGAAGUAUUCUGAAAGAAGGGAAGGCAGGAUGCUAAAUUUUGACAAAAUGACAUUAUUUUUAUUUAUCACCUUACACCUGCUCAGCAGUGUUAGCUACCAAAAGGAUGCUUGACUAAAGAAUAGGGGACAACUAAUUUGCCUGAGAUUUUACAUUUGGUAAUGGUAGCUCCUGUCUUUUCUGCUCUCUGGCACCCAGCUUGCUUAGUUUUGUGGGGGAUAUCU
rnacentral:lncRNA from 1 species